CACACAAUUUCCAGGCAGCCCCAGUCUGGAGAAGUGAUGGUGACAUCAGCCGUUAAAAAUAAAUAAUACUCUGAGGUUUUUAUGAAUACUUUGUACUUUUACUUGAGUAUUUCUCUAACACCAGUACUUUUACUUGUAAAUGAGUAAUAUUUUAGCAAUGUAACAGUACUUGUACUUCAGUACAGAUUUUCAGAUUUCUUUCCACCACUGCUGAAAACUGUAAAUGCUCAUUCUAACAUGUUAAUUAAAAUGCUAAAGCAACAGACGUGACAUGAAGAUUGUAUUGUUUGUUUUAUGCAACAUCAGGAGCCCUACGCAGAUAUUUUGGGAUGACAUCAGCUGCCACUGAGGAACAGCCAUCUACCUCCACUGCUCAUACCAGUAGGCCAGUAUUUGAACUCGAGGAGGGACAGUCUGCUGGCACCACAUCUCCCCAGGAAGAUACUUUAGAGAGACCUACCAGUAUAUGUGAACUUGAUGAGGGACAGCCAGCUGCCACGUCUCCCCAACAAGAUACGUCA